GCAAAGUAAAGAUGUCAGCAUGAAAGAAAGUGCAUGAAAGAAAAUACAAAGAUUGAUAGGACUUUUUCCAUGUAGGCACUGCACCUGUGGGCAGUGUGCUGGCUUCAACAGUUCUCCAGUUACUACAGUCCCCUGUUAGGCACUGUGUCAGACAAUGCCUUAUCCAGAAGAACUAAAAAUUGUCUUGGUUUCAAAACAAUCCUGCGGUACAGCAUGAUACAUGGUUCUUGAAAGGACAAGCUCUCUGCAAUGAAAAGCAAACAAGCUAGGCUUCAUGACCUCCAGUGUGGCUCAAAACUUCCCACUAACUCAUCUCCUGUGGCAGAAGAAAUUUUGACUGCAAUGAAAGCCUGAAUGAAUGAACACCAGAGGAUCAGAAUGAAGAAGAACACUGCUUGGGAAGAGUCUUCUUUGAUAUUUAAAACAGCAUUAACUCCUACCUUUGCUUACAGCACUCAUCACCUCUCCAUCACACCAGAUGACAAAAUAAGAAAAAAGCAUGAAUGCCACAUUUUCACCUCCAUCUUCAGCAGUUCUACCUACUCCUCUUCAGUCAAGGUUUUAAGCAGAUCUUUGGACCACAAGCUACUUGCAAGAUUCUUGCCCUCAUCUUUUGAAUGACAACAAAAUAAAAGCCAACACUGGACUGAAAGUAAAAACAAUUACAUCUAGAGGAAUAUUAACAAACUUCUCCAACUUAAUUUUUUUUUCUUGUUUGGCAUGUCUGCCCCUUUGACACCCCAGAGUAACAAAACCUGUAGAGCUUGCCUGUUCAUUUGGGAAUACAUAACAAAUUUUACUGUGGCAUCUAGAAGUCUUCUAAAUAAAUUCAGUUUAUCAAA